rnacentral:lncRNA from 1 species
UUACAACAUAGUCAAGGCCUAGAGACUGGAGACAUGACAUCACGGUAGAGGGCUACAAACUGGAGACAUUACAACAUAGUGGAGGGCUACAAACUGGAUACAUUUAAAACAUAGUGGAGACCUACAGACUGGGGAUAUGACAACAUAGUGGAGGCCUACAGUAUGGCGACAUUACAACAUAGUGGAGGCCUGCAGACUGGGGAUAUGACAACAUAGUGGAGGCUAACAGACUGAAGACCUAUUGAUUGGAGUCAUGACAACAUAGUGGAGUCCUGCAGACUGGGGAUAUGACAACAUAGUGGAGGCCUACAGACUGGAGUCAUGACAACAUAGUGGAGGCCUACAGACUGGAGACAUGACAACAUAGUGGAGGCCUACAGACUGGAGACAUUACAAAAUAGUGGAGGACUACAGAUUGGAGACAUGACAACAUAGUGGAGGCCUACAGACUGGAGACAUUACAACAUAGUCAAGGCCUAGAGACUGGAGACAUGACAUCACGGUAGAGGGCUACGAACUGGAGACAUUACAACAUAGUGGAGAGCUACAGACUGGAGACAUGACAACAUAGUGGAGGCCUACCGACUGGAGACAUGACAACAUAGUGGAGGCCUACAGACUGGAGACAUUACAUCAUAGUGAAGGCCUA